rnacentral:piRNA from 1 species
UCCAAACUUUUCUCUUUGCC